rnacentral:snRNA from 1 species
AUACAUUUCUCGGCCUUUUGGCUAAGAUCAAGUGUAGUAUCUGUUCUUAUCAGUUUAAUAUCUGAUAACUUGAUCCUACGGGUUCAGGGGGUGCGUUUAUAGGUUUUACCUAUAAGCUUGGGGGAAGGAUCCUUUAUAUUGUAGCUUGCUAUUUUAGGGUUCCUUCUGUGUCAUCCUUGUUUUGCACUUUCGCAAUGAUAUGGCACACCCAAC